CUAUUCGCCACUCACACUGCUCGUCAGCAUAUUUACUCUCAAUUGCUUCCUUCUCAAGAAGAUUUGAAUCAAUCAGUACACGAUGGCCCUAAAUGUGGAAGCUAAAGGCGGAAAUGGAGGGAAACAAUGGGAUGAUGGAUUCAAUUAUGAGUGUGUAACAAAGUUACAUGUACGAGGUGGUCGUGAAGGCAUUCAGUUCAUAAAGUUUGAGUAUGUCAAAGCUGGAGAAACAACAGUUGGACUAAUCCAUGGUGUCUCGGAUCGUUGUGGUCUGACACAGACGUUCGAGAUUAACCAUUUGGAAAAGGAACAUCUGAUAUCUGUAGGGGUUACUGCAAUGAAUCGACUGGUGUGACACAUUCGCUUCAGGGUAUCAUGGGCUAUCCUGGCUCUACAUAAGUGGUUGUCACGUCCUCAGUCUCUGACAAUGCCGAAAUGUUAAUUCUUCUGUGGUCGGAAUUCGAACCCUGGUGGCUUCACCGUAAUGAACUAUUUGCUUUCAAAUUAAUCACCAACAGACCACAAACCAGAGGGUACUAAAUUUUCACUAAGAGCCAAUGGCAAAAAAAUUAUUGGAUUUCAUGGGUUUGCUAAGAAGAAUCGCAACUGUCUUAGAGCAUAUUUCAUUGAGAUAAUUCAUUAGGCUGUCUGUUAGAGUAAUAUUUUUUAGCAUUUCUCUUAAUUCUUCCUUGUGUUUGUCCAUAUCGAUCCUCCCCCCCUCCCCCCCCUUCUUUUUUAAUCUUCCUACUCUAAUUAUAUUUGUCGGUUGUCUAUCGUUAAACCCUUUUAUUUUUUUUCUGAAAUGAUUUCCUAAGUCUUCUAUCGUUAUACACUUGUUAUUUUCUAUUUCUUUUAUUUUCUCGUUUAAUCAUUUUAUUUUUUCUAAUUGCUUAUUAUUUAACUGUUUGUAAUUUUUUAUUUUUUCUUCAAGCUCUUCAUUCUACUGUUUUAGUCGUUCUAAAUCGUUAUCCUGUUUUUCUUCUAUUUUUUGUAUUUUUUCUAGUACUAUUUUUAUUUGAUCUCCAAGUUUUUCUCUCAUAAUUUUUCAGUUAAUUUAUUAAUGGUUUCUGUUAGUUUUUUUACUGUUAUUAAUACGUCAUCCAAUUCUUGUAAUUUGUCAAGUUUAUCUAGUAUUUCUAUAACUUUUUUUUAUUUCAGAAAUAUUUUUUGCAUUUCUUCAACAUGUUUAGUUGACUCUAUAAUUUUAUCUAGUUUUUUUUGCACUAUUCUAUUUAUUUAAUUUGGUUUAUUGAUAUGUUACUAAUUAUUUCGGUUUGGUUGACUAGUAUUCCACAUAUUAUUCUCAUCGAAUGACAAAUUUUAUGAUCUUCUUUUAUGUUUGCUCCCAUCGUAUAUUCAGUGUUUUCCAUCAUAUUUCUUUCUAAUGGUAUAAUUUUUUCUUUAUAGGGUAUUCCCGGUAUAGAGUAUAACUCGGGGUGAUAUUCGAUAGUUUGAUCUAUAAAUUCAUCCGUUUUUAUAAAUUUAUCAGUUUUUAUAUUAUUUUGAUUUCUUCAAUUUUUUUGGUUUUUAGCUUUCCUCCCGCUUCUAAGUAUUCUAAUGCUCGUCCUUUAUUCUUAUUUAUAACUGCACAUAAUAAUUUUAUAUGCUCUCGUUUCUGUUCAUAAGUUUUUCAAUUUUAUUACUAUCUUUAUCAGAGUUUGAUGGCUCUGAUACCAAUUUUUCUUACUAAUUUUCAUCAAUUUUUUCUUACAAUCUUGACUCUGUUUUUUCCAUAGUUUAUUAUCUAAUGUUAUUAUAGAUCGAUCUAAUUUAUUUAAUUUAUGAUUAAUUU